rnacentral:rRNA from 1 species
GACGAACGCUGGCGGCGUGCUUAACACAUGCAAGUCGAACGGAAAGACCCUGCUUUUGUGGGGUUCUCGAGUGGCGAACGGGUGAGUAACACGUGAGUAACCUUCCCUUUACUUUGGGAUACCUUCAGGAAACUGGUGCUAAUACCGGAUAUGAGCUCCUGCUGCAUGGUGGUGGUUGGAAAGUUUCGGCGGUUGGGGAUGGACUCGCGGCUUAUCAGCUUGUUGGUGGGGUAGUUGCUUACCAAGGCUUUGACGGGUAGCCGGCCUGAGAGGGUGACCGGCCACAUGGGGACUGAGGGACGGCCCAGACUGAUACGGGAGGCAGGAGGGGGAAAUAUUGCACAAUGGGCGGAAGCAUGAUGCAGGGACGCCGGGUGCGGGAAGACGGCCUUCGGGGUGUAAACCGCUUUAGCCUGUGACGAAGCGUGAGUGACGGUAAUGGGUAAAGAAGCACCGGCUAACUACGUG